rnacentral:lncRNA from 1 species
CCACUUCCCUUACAAUAAGAAUUGAUUCAAUUAAAUACAAAAGCAAGAAUAAUAUAACAAUAAAAGUAAAUUUAUAAAUCAUGUUCUAAUGUUGGGCAGUCCAUGUCUAUCUAUUUGUAUGAGUGCCCUAAUUUCUCGUGGUAGUUUAGAUAGUUCGUAUACUGGAUAUCGUCGGUGAUUCCAUCCUUCUGUAGCAAGAGCAUCUGCAACCUGGUUUUCCUCUGUGAAGACGUGGGAAACUGUAUCUUUAUCGAAGGAGAUGUUUUCUAUAAUCUUUCUGAGUAUGCCUUGAAUAGCCCAUGGUUCUCACCUUUGAUGAUACAAUGAAUUGCUACUCUAGAGUCUGCCUCAACCCAAAUGUUUGAAAAUCCAAAGUCUUUGGCCAGUAAUAUCCCAUCAAGAAUAGCUCUGAGUUUUGCUUCCAGUAUCAUACACUGUCCAUAUGAUGUUGAGAAUGCCUUUAUGCAUCUUCCGCCGGGGUCUCUGAUUAUGCUUCCCCCGCUCGCGAAGCCAUCUUUG